rnacentral:rRNA from 1 species
ACAGAGGGAAGCCAGGUGGCGACACCGCGCGGAACCCGAAAGCCGUUCUCAGUUCGGAUCGGAGUCUGCAACCCGACUCCGUGAAGCUGGAUUCGCUAGUAAUCGCGCAUCAGCCAUGGCGCGGUGAAUACGUUCCCGGGCCUUGUACACACCGCCCGUCAAGCCAUGGGAGCCGGGGGUGCUUGAAGUGCGUCGCCGCAAGGCGCGCCCUAGAGCAAAACCGGUGACUGGGGCUAAGUCGUAACAAGGUAGC